GAUGAACGCUGGCGGCGUGCCUAAUACAUGCAAGUCGAGCGAACGGACGAGAAGCUUGCUGCUCUGAUGUUAGCGGCGGACGGGUGAGUAACACGUGGAUAACCUACCUAUAAGACUGGGAUAACUUCGGGAAACCGUAGCUAAUACCGGAUAAUAUUUUGAACCGCAUGGUUCAAAAGUGAAAGACGGUCUUGCUGUCACUUAUAGAUGGAUCUGCGCUGCAUUAGCUAGUUGGUAAGGUAACGGCUUACGAAGGCAACGAUGCAUAGCCGACCUGAGAGGGUGAUCGGCCACACUGGAACUGAGACACGCUCCAGACUCCUACGGGAGGCAGCAGUAGGGAAUCUUCCGCAAUGGGCGAAAGCAUGACGGAGCAACGCCGCGUGAGUGAUGACGGUCUUCGGAUCGUAAAACUCGGUUAUUAGGGAAGAACAUAUGUGUAAGUAACUGUGCACAUAUUGACGGUAACUAAUCAGAAAGCCACGGCUAACUACGUG
rnacentral:rRNA from 1 species